GGCUGCGCGGCGGGCUGCGGAGCCCUGGAGAGUCAUUGAAGAAGGAAAAGAGGAAGCACACACUGGAAGAGUUAAGUAGAGCUGAGCGCAUGGAAGGUCACAUUAGGAAGUAGGGAUUGUUGAGCAUCGGGUGAGAGGUUAGGAGGAAGAUGGAGGUUUCAUGGUAUUAACUUGGGUUUCGUGGUAGCUUUCUGGCUCAGGUGCUUUCUCUACCCUCAUCCCCCUUUGUACCAUCAUAUUUUAGCAUUUAAUUAUAUACUUUCUUGAAUCCCUUUGAGAAGCACUGAUUAUGCGGUCUGUCUCAGUUUUUGAAUCCUGGCUUUAGAUUUAUUUUUUUUUUAAAGAUUUACUUAUUUAUUAUACACAAGUACACUGUAGCUGUCUUCAGAUAUACCAGAAGAGGGCAUCAGAUCUCGUGACAAAUGGUUGUGAGCCACCAUGUGGUUGCUGGGAUUUGAACUCAGGACCUCUGGAAGAGCAGUCAGCGGUCUUAACCACUGAGCCAUCUCUCCAGCCCCUAGAUUUUAAUAUUACUGAUUCUGAGCUUUCUGGGCUUAAGGGUAGCAGCUGUUUUCCUUCUUAUAGGAAGGUGUAUAAGGUCUAGCUCUUAGAAUUAUUGAAGGGAAUAGGUUUCUGCUCAUGAUGCUAGGAAUGGAUAUAGAAUUCAACUUCAGAUUUGCUUUCUCAUAGACGCAGUAGUUGCCACUGAAGGACAGGCGUUCUGGCCAAAGCCUACCCAGGGACUUAUAAAUAACACUGCAUGUUCUUAGUAUUUAGAUAUGUCAGAGUACUUUCUCUAGCAUCAGUUCAUUUGUUCCUCAGAACAGCUCAUUAAAAAUGCUGUCAGCAUAAGUCAACUGAUUCCAAUAAAGCACUUUAGAUCCUUUCUCUUCAUUCUCUUCUUUCUGCUUGAUAACAAGUCCCAUCCUGCUCUAAGAACUAUCUCUUCAUAGGUUUGGAAACAACCAACCAUUAGCUCACUGACGAUGCCUUUUGUUGAACUGCAUAAAAUCUAACCAUUAUUCAUUUUCUAGUCCUAGAUAGUUCCCAGAUUCUUAACCUCUUAAAACUCUCACUCUCCUUGAAUUCAUAUGGUAGCUACAACCAUUUAGCCAGUUAUAACCUAGUUAUAAAAUCUUUAUGAAAACAUAUGGUGCAUGUGAUAGAAGAAAGUACUGGACCAGAUGAGUUUUAAGACUUAACAGGGACUUGUGUGAGCCAAGUCAGUUUACUCUACUUUUCUCAUCCUUGAAUGGGGAUGAUCUUACAGUAAACAUCUUCCCAUUCUGAGGGAUUGAGUAUACCUGGAUGCAAAUGUUUUUAUAAGAACUGAAUGCCUUUGGGCCUGUUCUAUCCCAGAUAUUUAUAAAAUCAAAUUGUUCACUUUAAAAUUUCAUAUACCUUUUCUGGUAUAUGCAGUAUCAAAAAAAAUUAGCUGGGGGCAAAUUAAGGGGCUGUUAAUAGGUAUUAACAAGCAAAAAAAAAAAAAGAUUGGGGGGUUAUUCCAGGACCCACCCCUCUGUAGAUACUAAAAUCUGUGAGUAUAAAGCCUUUAUGGAAGGUAGCUUAGUAUAUGAGCAUAACCUCCACAUAUUUUGUAUCAUCUAUAGCAAUCCUAGAUGACUUAUAUCUAAUAUAAUGUGAUACCAUGUAAGUAGUUGCUAUAUUGUGUUGUUUAGACACUGGUAACAAGCUAAAGUCUGUACAUGCUUAAUAUAAAUAACGUUAUUUAUUUGUCUGUUUUAUGUAUUGAGAUAAAGGUGUUGUAUUAGCCCAGUCUGGACUGGAACUUACUGUGUUGUUCUAGUAUUGACUGUCCCUGAAUUUAUAAUUCUUGAGGUCAGCUUUCCAAAUGCUGGAAUUCUAAGGCAUGUGACAUGAAGCUUGGCAUACUUUUACACACACACACACACACACACACACACACACACCCCCCACACACACACACACACACAUACAUACACACUCCACAUAAACUAGAAUGUCAUAUGUGAAAACCAGUGGUAUUUUACAUUUCAUUUUUAUUGACUAAUUCUAUGUAAUAUCUGGCUGGCUGUGUGUUCUUUUUGAAUCAUUAUAUAACUAAAAAUCAUAGAUGGAAAACUCUAGGCUAGGUACAAGGUGACCAUUCACUAAUCUUAUUGGUGAGAACUGUAAAACUGCAUGUGUGUAUGUGUGUGUGUGUGUGUGUGUGUGUAUCUCACAUGCUCAUUAUGCCUAAGUUAAGGAUGCUCUGAAAUUAUGAGAUGCUCUUACACAUUGACCAGACUUUAGGGAUAUCUCUUUAAAGUGUGUUGACAUUUAAUUGACCUUUGAAGGUUCAUUCUGUUAAUCAUACUCAAAGUGCUAAAGCUAUGGUUGACUGCUUUGGAGUUUUUACAUUCAGUCGUGCUUAGCAUAUAAAGUCUCUGGCGUAAUUGCUGCUCAUUUGGAGUAAGCUUCCUUCUCUCUGAAAAUGUGAGUUAUGCUUGUGUUUUGUUUUGUUUUUAAAACUUUGCUUCAGGCUAGGUAAUGAUAGAGGUUUGAAUUCAAGUCUUUCCCUGUCAUUAGUUGUAGGUGGGUAUUGCUUUUCAUACAUAAGUAAUGGGAAUUGCUUGGCUAAAUGAAGACUACUUUUAUUCAUGCAAGAACUAGAGCUCUUCAAGGUGCAGUGUUAAAAUUUAAACAGUUUAACAAACUUAAAAUUGUGUGUUUCUCAACAAACUUCUAAGAGCCUUUCAGUUCUGUUACUGUGGAUUGAAACUACCAAUGUAAGUGUUUUUCGGAAUAAGAAUUCAAAGAACUAUUUUCAUAGUAAACUGUAUUCCUUGACUUAUUCUCAGUAUAAUUUUAUUAUAAACACAGUUUGUAAAAACACAAAAACUCCACCUUAUUUCUUUUUAAAAUGCUGAUAUUUUAUUGCUUUGUCUAGAGAAUAUCUGAUGAAAUGUUUUAAAAUUUAUGGGAUUUAAAUUUAUGAAAAUAGCCUUUGGAAGUAUUUUUGAUAUAGUUAGCUCAGUUGACUUUUAAAUUGGCGAGGUUUUAUUCUUUACGUUAGUUUACUUAAUAUGGCAAAAUGGUAACAAUUCUUAACAUAGCUUACUUAGACUGGCCUUGAAAUCAUGACCGUUCAUCUUUAAAAAAUAUUAAUUUUUAAUUUUUUUUAUGUGUAUGGACAUUCUGUCUGAAUAUUUAUCUGCACCAUAUGUGUGCCUGGUGCCCAUGGUGAUUGGAAAAGGGUGUCAAAUACCCUGAGACUAGAGUUACAGACAGUGUGAGUCUCCAUGUAAAUGAUAGGAAUAGAACCUGGGUUCUCUAACAGAUCAUCACUAUCUCUUCUGCCCCUAAAUUAAUAUUCUUAAUAUUUAUGAAAAUGAUAACUUUUUUCUAAAUUAUGAUUGAAAAAAAUAACAUGUUCUUACCACUUUUUAAUGAUUUAUCUUUAAGGUACCAUACAUAUUUUUAGAUAUUUUUACCUUGAAGCAGCUAUUAAAUAGGAAAGUUUAAAGUUUAAACUAGAAUUUUUACUUUCAUGAGAUAAUUUUAGACCUUGGAUAUAUAUACCUUCAUGUUUACAAUGCAUUCAUUCUACUGUAAAUUUUGAGAUAUUACUCACUUAUUCAUACAGUUCAAGUAAAGCAAACAGUUCUCUUGCCACAAAAUUUGAUAUUUCUGAUCAGUUAGUUUUCUAUAUUGUCUCAUCUGUUCUGCUCUUUACUGUCUUCCAUUAGAGUAGUUCUUUUUAUUUAAUGGUAGACCCGCCUCCAAAUAAAAGGUCAUUUUCUCUUAGACAUUUAACUUCAGACUACCCUUUUGUGGGGAUAGAGGAUAUACCAUGAGGCAUAAUAACAUUAUUUCAGUAAAACCUAAAGAAUGACAAUCAGUGCAGUGAUGAUUGUAUGCAUGAUACUCAGAUCACGGGUGACAUCUCAAACUGUAUAAUGUGAUUUCAGUAUAUUUCUUUAUCUGUAGCUAGUAUUUUAAUAUCAGGUAUAACUAAACAUAAUUUUAAUAUAAAGACUGAUUUCCACAGAAAACUUUUUUUUUUACUUUUAGUAAGCCUAUUCAAUGGAUAAUACAUUAACAGAAAUAAAUACUAUUUCAUUUUUGUUUUCAUAAGAAAUGUUCUAUCAUUCAGAUCUGGUGAUGGUCACAGGUGGUUUAUUUAACAAAUUUGUGAUUUUUCACAUAAUAAAUUUUGGCCUAAAUAUUUCAUAAGUGUCAGUUUACUUAAUAUUAAUUUUACUAGUGAGAAGGUUAUGAUACAAGUAUUUAUGGUGGUGUCUUUGGUUGGUAGACAGAUUGUAAGAAAGUAGGUAACAGUCUUAUUACUAAAUAGCAACAGAAAUUGUGCAGGAUCUGGGGAAAUAUGGGUGUGUUUAUUAGGAAAAGAUAGGACUCCAGUGGGCCCAGUAUGGAGAGCAGCUUGCCUUCCUCCUCCAGUGGCUCUGAAGCUCAGGCCAGAUGCUCUCAGGUUUCAGCAGCCCGCCAGGUGGAGGAGGCUGCUGCUUAGCACUGAGGAGCCCUCACGUCUUCCUCCUCCUGGCAUUUUUAGGCUGACUCAGGCAGUUUUGCCCCAGGAGGGUUUUCCUUCUCCCUCAGUUGGAAGCCUGGGCUUUGUAAAUAAGAGGAGGUUUUUUUUUUCCUCCCAGGUUUAAUCUCAGGCCAGUUCAUCCUCCCCUUGCUUGCCCUUCCGGAUAUUUCUUCAAAAAUAGUGCUCAGUAGUGUUUUACAAUUGUAUGUAACUAUGAGAUUGAUAGUAAGUAACAGAAUUAAAGGGCAAAGCAGUCAUUUCUGUUUGAAUUCAGCAGAGAAGAUGAGAAAGUGGUUAAAUGUAGAAAAGAAGGAGAAAAGAAUCAUUGUGGAAAUGUAGAGAUAAAUUGGGGUUGGAGGCUGAUGGAAACUGAGAGGAGGAUUGCUGAUUUGCUUCUCACCCACACCUCCUCCCCACAUUCACAGUAACAGGCGAUGUCACUGUCUUUUGCCUGACAUGCUGAGCCAGGGAGUUGAGACUCGUGGGAGUGGAAAUUUUCUUCCUUUUGAAUUUUGAGACUAGGGUGUGCUGCUUUAAGAUGCCACUGGUAUCUCAGUAAUGUUUGUUUAUACUGGAUAUUUUCUGGGUAGCCAUUGUGGACAGGGCUUAGAAUACAAACAGUGCUGUUAGAAAGACUGCAGAUACUCCACUGCUAUGUUUAUCGGACUAGUUAAAAACCUGCUAGCGCCUAAGACUUCUGAGCACGUUUAGAAAACUCCGAAGGAAGGAAGGAAAGAAGGAAAAGAAAGGAAAUUAAUUAAGACUUUGUGCUUAGAAUGCUAACCAACAUGCAAAUUUUUCUUUAGAGAGUAUAGGAGUUGAGCAUUUUUAAAAACUUAAGUGUAAAAGUUUUUUUUUAAUAUUUUCUUAAUCAUUUAGAUAAAAGCACAGCACUUUGAAUUCACAGAUUGUAACAUUAAAGUUAGAAGGAAUUUGGAGGGAUUUUAGUUUUGAUCCUUAUUCAGAUCAUGGGUCUCACAGUAUUUCUUACUGAUUUAUGAUUUUAAUAAGACAGUAAUUGAAAUUGUGAUCAUCUCAAAAAAGAUAUAUUACCA
ensembl:lncRNA